UUGUAAGUGAUGAAAACUAGAGACUGUUCCAGCAGAGGCCUCACAAAUGUUGAAAAGAAUGCUUCCACUCAGCAUUGGCUACCCCUACAGCCAUUAUGCUCCAGUGUUUGGUCCAGGGAUUUUCUUUGACCAUUUCCUGAUAGGAAUGAAGAAUGAAAGCAAGAACUACAACACAAGUUCUUCCCAUCAAUUCCAAGCAAUGUACCUGCAGUGUAUAUUGGGUUUCCAUAUCAGAGCGCAUACUGUUAAUGUGGGUGCCAUCUUUGUUGUCCCAGACAUCAACCUGACUUCCUUCAAUUUUCUUCAUCCUGGGCUGAAGAAACCAUGUCUGAUUGUACCCAGUCCUGCAGGAUCUUCUUUGCUUUUCAAAGAACAAUGGAUUGUUUUUGUGGAGAAAAAAAAAAAUACAACAAAUUUUCCAAAACACAGAAACUGUGUGUUCUGUUGGUUGAAAAUCAUCCCAACAAGUUGACAAUUCAGGGUUUAUGAAUAAGCCAUGGGUGACAGACAUUCAAGGGGAUGUAAAUUUGCUAACUUUGAGGUGAUUCAUAACAACAGUCUUUUCUACAAGACAGAUAUUUCUUGUCAUCUGUGGCUUAAUGGUAGAAAGUACUUCCUUCUGUUCCUAUGUAAUCAUCAAGAGGCAAAACUGAAACUUGUUCUUAUUGCUUCACAAUAUUUUGACAGAGCAGCAGACUCAAAAUGCUUUAUGUUUUAACAACUUAUAGCGACACAGAAUGAAAUUACAUAAUGACAUUCAUAGAGACUGUGCUGUGCCAUCUCAGUUUUUGUGUUUCCUAUAACAUCCACAUUCCUUAUGGUGUGAGAGUAAAAGAGCAUUUAAGUUGAAGCCCAAAUGUUUUCCUUCAGUGAGAAAUUCAUUUCCCACUUUCAAUGAAGUCACUGAAUGAAUGGCUUUGAAAAGCACUUCUAGUAGCCGCUUGGCUCACAUCCCUGACUUCAGAACACUAACUGCAGCCUAUCCUAUUAAUUUCUGGGAGCAAGUAGCAACCAGCACAUUAGGGAGAGAGAGGAAUGAAUGAAGCUGCAGCAUAUUUCCAAGCUGAAGUUACUUUCUAGUACAGAUUAUCUUGUCUCAGGGCUUCUGAAAAGGUUUUGAAAGGACAUCAAAACAAAACUGAAACAUUUUUGGAAGGAAUAAUGUUUUGGGCAAUUUAUAAUGAGUUAUUGGAAUGAAAGUGCAAUGUUACUUUUUUUUUUUUUUUUUUCCCAAAACUGUCUGGUGUCUGCAUUGGUGUAAGAGUGACUAAAUUUUUGCGUGGGGGAGGGGAAAGGAAAAGGUUCUAUUCCAGUUUAAAUGUUCUUGACCUUCAUUGGCUCGACCCAAGCAAUCUGUGAAUGAAAAGUUUACAUGGAAAUCUGAUUGCAGUAUUAAGUUUCAGGAAAAAAAAAUAGCUAAUUAUUUUAUGUUUUCUUAUUUAUAAGUUACUGUGAGUAAUUGUGUUACAAAGAAAACAGGAUUCAUCACUCAUUAAAUGAGAUUACCUUACCUAGAAAUUGUUGACAGUGCUUUUAGAAACCAUUACCAAUUUUGUAAUAAGCUCCUUUAUUCCCAUUCAAAAGGUGCAUCAUGAAGAUUCUCCAAGAAGCUCUGUCUAGAGACAUCUAUAAAAAUGAGAUUGAAAAGAUUGAUAAGUACUCUCUAUUUUUUUCAUAUUUAUGUUAUUUAGUAUUAAAAUAAUUUUUACAGUAUGAAUUUCUACUUUUUCCAUAUAAGAUGUUAAUAAGUCAUAUUUCACCCCUUCAAUUAUGCAACAUCACAACUACUUUUUUUUUUUUUUUUUUUU